rfam:TPA: Bos taurus chromosome 6, whole genome shotgun sequence.
UCCCUGGUGGCUCAGAGGUUAAAGCAUCUGCCUGCAAUGCAGGAGACCCGGGUUUGAUACCUGAGCUGGGAA